GACAAUUCGGGAUUGUCUAUUAACAAAUUAAAUGAACUAGGAAAAAGGAAAACAAAAUACUAGAAACAGAAUACUGCAUACAGGGUUGUUUUUACCCAAUCUCUCGGCCAUAAUGUAGUGUGUAUAAAGAUAAAGAUAACACCAUCUUUGAAUUAACCCUAUGGAAAAUUCACAUUGAAAAAGAGGCAAAAUGGAGAUAAAUAAAAAUGGACACAGUUUUAUCCCAGUACAUGUAUCAGAAAUUACAUCAAUGACUGUGUUAAAUUUGUAUUUACCAUUCAUAUAAAAUGACAUGUAAAUGAAAAGAAUGGCAUCUUAAAUAUAUUUUAGAGGCUUUUUUAUGGUAAUUGAAAAACAAAAUCCAAACACAUUUACGACAGAAUUGAGUUUUUUUUUUAACCCAAAUAAACAUUUUCAUAUAAGUAUAUUGCAUUAGUUAUUAAAUUCUCUGGAUUGAUUUAUUCUUGAGUACUACUAUGAAACCUGUAUAUUACAUAAAUCUUAUACAAUCAAAGUUUGAUAUUAUAAAGUGCUAUUUAAAACAGAAAUGUUUUCUUCUCCAGAUAUACAGUCGUACAAAAAUAUAUCCCUUAAAAUAAGAACAUUAGAAUGAAUAUAAUUUAGUGAUAAUACCUUGCAAGAAAACAUCAGUAUUUGAACAACAUGAUAGGAAUUCACUUAUAAUACAGGCAUGUAGAAAAAUUUAACAACCAACAGUACUGUAUACAGAUUUUUUUUGCCUCGUGCCUUUUUUUUUGCCCUUCUACUUUUGCAAACUGCAUAUUGCUCCAUUUUGAAUUCAUCCAUACAAAACGUAUGAUAAAUUCUUAUUUUAAUUAACAUAGUUAUUUAAAAAUCGUUUUGAAUUCACUCCCUGACAAGGCCCAAAGGGGCAAAAAUAAAACAGGGGUGAAUAUUUUCCUGUAUACAGUAAUCACAUAAAAGAGAUUGAAACAUGAAUACCUUAUUGGCUCAAGUAGUUUGCAUCAUGCUAGUCAAGUAAAUUAAAGCACCAUAUGUCAACAUUAAGUCAGGAAUAUAAACCUGAUUUCAUUUUGUAAUUAUAUACUGUGAACAUAUUUUAUUUACAUGUAGGUGUACAAAACUUUGCAGAAAUUGAUUUUUCAACAUAUCAGCAAGGAAUUGAAUUAACAUGUUUUUUUUUCAACAUGGACUUAUCAUUAUACAUAUAUGCAUGGUAUUUAGCAAUGUACAUGAUUUGGCAUAAACUGCUUCCUGCCAAAGACCUUCACUAGAAUACACAGCCAAAUGUAACACACUUGCAGUAUAUCAAUUUUAUAUGCUGUAUUUGGUAACUAUGUGUCUACAUGUAUAAGCACAACAUCAAGCAUAUAUAAAUAUAUAAGUAAACAAAUGGUGCAACAAAAUGUCAAACCAUUCAGAAAGAAACAGAACAAAUGACAAACACAUAACACAUUGAUAAAACUAUGAAAAAUAAAAUCUCUUUUGUUGAUAUGAACAUAUAUAAAAUAUCUGCAAUAAAAAAGUAAAAAAAGAAAUUAACCUGAUUAUACAUGAUAUGUACAGACAAAACAAUAAAGGAAUGCUUUAAACUGGUUUUUUUUUAAGACAUGAACACAAGCCCUUGGUGCUGUAUUACUGGGGCACACACAAUAUCAAGUUUACAUACAUGUACAGGCAUUGCAUUAUAUACAUGUAGUUCCAGUGAAUGCAUGUACAUUGUACAUAUAGUUCCUUCCAGAGCAGAAACAACACAGAAACAUUUUGGUUACAAUAACAACAUUGGACAUCUCCUGAUCUAUACUAAAAUACUGAACAUGUUGAAGAAUAAUUAUAAUACAAAUUGUCAGGGCAAUACUCAUAGUGAAUUUGUUUUGGUAAAUGGACAUGUGGUACUAGCACAUUUAAAGGCGAAGUCCCCUAUAUUGCCUUCACACCAAACAGUGAUGGGACUUGGGACUGUCUGGUAUCUAAAAGCACACUUAAAGCAGAAAAAAAAAUAGAUGGAGGGCAGAUGUAAUGAUGCUAUGCAGAGGAAAUAGGAAGAAAUUGUUUCUGUGUAGAUUUCUGAACAAGGUCUGAAUAUUCAGCUUCAAAAAUUGCAUUUCCUCUUACACCAUGGUUGUCAUGACAAUCGAAUCAUCUUCCUGGUUAACUUCCUGGAAAGAAAAAAAAAUAAAAUUCAUACAUAAUGUUUAGGGAGGCUGAUUUGGGGUUUUUUUUGGCAGAAAACUACAAAAGU
rnacentral:sRNA from 1 species